AGAUUGAUAGCUCAGUGGUAGAGCAUUGGUCAUGAUAGCUGAUGACAUCGGUUCGAGUCCGACUCAGUCUA
rfam:Laccaria amethystina LaAM-08-1 unplaced genomic scaffold K443scaffold_31, whole genome shotgun sequence.